AUGCAUCGACCGCGAAACGCUUGGUGGAAUAGAACAGAUGGUGCUGAAACUCGUAGUACGCUCGAAGGACAGAGACAAUUCAAUAUUAACUUGCAUAAGGCGCAACAAAGACUCAGAACUGCACGAAACAACGCGCCAAACCUGACGAAGAGAGUCUUGGGUGGGUUUGUUAAAACCUUCGAGUACGAGUAUGAUGAUGAGGCCAUUGGCAAUGUUCAUAACGGCACGAUGAUAAUUGCGUACGAUGAUGGUAUUGAGCAACCUCAUGAUAUCACAGUAGUGAUCUUAGAGGAUUGGGCCAACGCUAGUGAGAUCGGAGAUGCAAUUGUGGCGCAUACUGAAAAACUUUCUAGCUAUGGUGGUGACUUACUUGUGCAAGCAUAUUUCAGUACUUUUUGCCACAAUGCUCAGAGAUACAUAGUGGCCUAUGAGCCAUUCGUUCCCGCCUCAAUUCAGGGAAUAAGGAGUGAACCAUUUUUUGCUCAUGAUGAGCUAGAGUUGUCAGAAUGUUGGCGGGAGAGGAUGAGGUCAUUCAUAGAACUUCUCCAUAUCGCGGCACAGUGCAAUAUCAGACAUGGUGGCCUCUCGGAGCUUGCCAACUAUGCGACUUGUCGAGAUGGGCUGAAGAUAAUUAAUAUGGGGCGAUAUUCUCACAUUGUCGGGAGAGAAAGAGACAUGCGGCAGCUUAUGGAUUUUGUAACCACACUAUUCCCUCGGAGUUUGACUCAUCCCGAGUGGAGAACCCUUGUUGAUCUUCUCCUCUCAGUGACCAUGUGGAACCCACUUAGAGUUGAUUCUUAUUACGGUCCUAACUGGCUAGAAGUUGUCUUGCGGCACCCAAUUUUAUUGGGCACUGCCGAAGAAAAAUUGGACUGCUUUGUAGCUCUCCACAUGGAUGUAAUGCGUCUGGACAAUACAGGGAAAGCUAGGUUCUCAAAUUGGAUUCACAAUCGCUACCCGGCAUUUAAACGGUACUUCUUGCAUGACUUCGAUGAUGAACUAGAACGUGACCAUGAUCUCCGUUCUCGAGUUGUUCCCUGGAACCAACUCUACUACAAUCUCUUCACGUUCAUCCCCCCUGGAAGUAAUAGGGAACUCAAAGAAAACAGGGACUUUGCAGCUUUCAAGCAUGGAUCCCGGUUUAGAAAGAAUGAGUUCUUUCAGGACCCUAAUGAUGGGAGUUGGUCAGCUAACUAUGGUACAAGAUAUUGCUAUCUCAAUAUUAUUAAGUUGGUUAAGAACCUGAUAAACCAUGGAGGUGACUACGAUCAGGAAUUGCAUGAUAAGAACAAUAUGCUCAUAGAGAUCAGAACUCGAUUCCAACAUUUUAUGAGUGUUUGCUACACCGUCAUAAACAUGACGGAUGAUUGGAUUAAUGAUUGGACGACCGAUCCAUAUCCAUAG
rnacentral:rRNA from 1 species